rnacentral:tRNA from 1 species
GCCCGGGUGGCGGAAUUGGCAGACGCGCAGGACUCAGGAUCCUGUGGGAGCAAUCCCGUGCGGGUUCAAAUCCCGCCCCGGGCACCA